AUUAAAACACCGGUUCUCGUACGAACGCCGAAGUUAAGGAAUAUCGUGCGUAGUUAGUACAUAGAUGGGUGACCGCUUGGGAAUACCAAGUGCUGUAAG